rnacentral:rRNA from 1 species
AUUGAACGCUGGCGGCAGGCCUAACACAUGCAAGUCGAACGAGUGGCGGACGGGUGAGUAAUGUCUGGGAAACUGCCCGAUGGAGGGGGAUAACUAAUGGAAACGGUAGCUAAUACCGCAUACCAUCGGAUGUGCCCAGAUGGGAUUAGCUAGUAGGUGGGGUAACGGCUCACCGAGGCGACGAUCCCUAGCUGGUCUGAGAUGAUGACCAUCCACACUGGAACGUGGACACGGUCCAGACUCCUACGGGAGUCAGAAGUGGGGAAUAUUGCACAAUGGGCGCAAGCCUGAGGCAGCCAUGCCGCGUGUAUGAAGAAGGCCUUCGGGUUGUAAAGUACUUUCAGCGAGGAGGCGUUACUCGCAGAAGAAGCACCGGCUAACUCCGUGCCAGCAGCCGCGGUAAGUC